rnacentral:rRNA from 1 species
CAGUAGCCACGGGAAUACGAAGGGUGCAAGCGUUACUCGGAAUUACUGGGCGUAAAGCGUGCGUAGGUGGUGGUUUAAGUCCGUUGUGAAAGCCCUGGGCUCAACCUGGGAAUUGCAGUGGAUACUGGGUCACUAGAGUGUGGUAGAGGAUAGUGGAAUUUCCGGUGUAGCAGUGAAAUGCGUAGAGAUCGGAGGGAACAUCUGUGGCGAAGGCGACUAUCUGGGCCAACACUGACACUGAGGCACGAAAGCGUGGGGAGCAAACAGGAUUAGAUACCCCUGUAGUCCCUGUCUCUUAUAC